GAUGAACGCUGGCGGCGUGCCUAAUACAUGCAAGUCGAGCGAACAGACGAGGAGCUUGCUCCUCUGAUGUUAGCGGCGGACGGGUGAGUAACACGUGGAUAACCUACCUAUAAGACUGGGAUAACUUCGGGAAACCGGAGCUAAUACCGGAUAAUAUAUUGAACCGCAUGGUUCAAUAGUGAAAGACGGUUUUGCUGUCACUUAUAGAUGGAUCCGCGCCGCAUUAGCUAGUUGGUAAGGUAACGGCUUACCAAGGCAACGAUGCAUAGCCGACCUGAGAGGGUGAUCGGCCACACUGGAACUGAGACACGGUCCAGACUCCUACGGGAGGCAGCAGUAGGGAAUCUUCCGCAAUGGGCGAAAGCCUGACGGAGCAACGCCGCGUGAGUGAUGAAGGUCUUCGGAUCGUAAAACUCUGUUAUUAGGGAAGAACAUAUGUGUAAGUAACUAUGCACGUCUUGACGGUACCUAAUCAGAAAGCCACGGCUAACUACGUG
rnacentral:rRNA from 1 species